rnacentral:lncRNA from 1 species
UGUCACUGUGUUGGUGUCACCGCAUUGGUGUCCCUGUUGGUGUCACCAUGUUGGUGUCACCGUGUUGCUGUCCGUGUUGGUGUCACCGUGUUGGUGUCACCGUGUUGCUGUCCCUGCUGGUGUUGCCGUGCCGGUGUCCCUGCCGGUGACACAGCGGUUGUCCCCGCGCAGCGGCUCGGUGGACGACGAGGAGGAGAUGCUGUACGGGGACUCGGGGGCCCCUCGCAGCCCCCCCCGUGAGGAUCCGCGCCGCGGAGCCGCCACCCAACCGGAGCGCGACCGGCAGAACCGGGCCGAGCCCAGCCACUGGGCGCUGCUGGUCCGCGACAACGGCGCCAUGGAGGUGGGGCUGCCGCCAACUGCUGUCACCUCCCUGCCACCGGAUGUCACCUCCGUCCCCUCCUUUCCCCUCCCUGUCACCUCCUGUCCCCCCCAUGUCACCUCCUGUCCCGUGUCACCAAAUGGCCCCUGUAGCACCUCCUUUCCCCUCCAUGUCACCAAAUGUCACUUCUGUCACCAAAUGUCACCUCCCUGUCAGCUCCUGUUCCCUCCGUCCCCUCCUUUCCCCUCCCUGUCACCUCCUGUCCCCUCCCUGUCACCUCCUGUCCCCUGUGUCACCAAAUGGCCCCUCUGUCACCUCCUUUCCCCUCCCUGUCACCAAACGUCACCUCUGUCACCACAUGUCCCCUCCCUGUCAUCAAAUGUCACCUCCAUGUCACCAAAUGUCACCUCUGUCACCUCCUGUCCCCUCCAUUACCUCCUUUCCUCUCCCUGUCAUCUCCUGUCUCCCCCAUGUCACCUCCUGUCCCCUGUGUCACCAAAUGCCCCCCCUGGCACCAGAUAUCCCCCUGUCACCAAAUGUCCCCUCCCUGUCACCAGAUGUCACCUCUGUCACCUCCUGUCCCCUCCAUCACUCCCUUUCCCCGCCCCGUCACCUGCUGUCCCCUCCCUGUCACCACUGUCCCUUUGGUGUCACCGUGUCACUCGCUGUCACCACCUCUCCCGCAGUGCCACUCCCCGUCCCUCAGUACGGACCCUUUGGUGGCACCCCGUGUCCCCUCGGUGUCACCACCUCCCCCCAUUGCCCCCAUUGUCCCCAAUAACCCAAAGUCCCCAUUGUCCCCACUGCCCCUAUUACCCCCAUUGCCCCCAUUGCCCCCAUAUUCCCCAAUGUCCCCAAUCCCCCCAAUGUCCCCAAUCCUCCCAACCCCCCAUUGCCCCCCAAUCCCCCCAUUGUCCCCAUCGCCCCCAAUCCCCCCAAUGCCCCCAAUGUCCCCAAUGUCCCCACUGUCCCCAUUGCCCCCAUUGCCCCCAUUGUCCCCAAUGUCCCCAUUGAACCCAUUGUCCCCAAUUCUCCCGUUGCCCCCAGUGUCCUCAUUGCCCCCAAUGUCCCCACUGUCCCCAAUUCCCCCAUUGCCCCCAAUGUCCCCUUUGAACCCAUUGCCUCCAAUGCCCCCAUUGCCCCCAUUGUCCCCAUAGAUCCCAAUGUCCCCAAUCCCCCCAGUAUCCCCACUGUCCCCAUUGCCCCCAUAUUCCCCAAUGCCCCCAUUGCCCCCAUUGCCCCCAAUGCCCCCAAUGCCCCCAGNNNNNNNNNNNNNNNNNCCCCCAAUGCCACCAAUGUCCCCACUGCCCCCAUUGCCCCCAUUGCCCCCAAUCCCCCCAAUGCCCCCAUUGCCCCCACUGCGUCCAAUUCCCCCAUUGUCCCCAAUGCCCCCAUUGCCCCCAAUAUCCCCUUUGAACCCAUUGCCCCCAGUGCUGCCAUUACCUCCAUUGCCCCCAUUCUCCCCAAUUCCUGCAAUCCUCCCAUUGCCCCCAUUACCCCCAAUGUCCCCAUUGCCCCCAAUGUCCCCAAUGUCCCCAAUCCUCCCAACCCCCCCAUUUCCCCCUGUUACCCCCAUUACCCCCAACCCCUUCAUUGCCCCCAUUACCCCCAAACC